ACCGGUCUCUCCAUUUCAGAGACCGGUCCCAGAACACAAGAAAGUUCAGAAAAUUUGUUUAAAAACAAUCUAAGCCUUCUGAACUUAUUUUAAUCAUAUAUCUUCACCACAAAUGAUCUUUUCUACAUACCUUAGGUGUCGAUCUUUCCGAAUGAGUCUUUGUCCUCCAAUUUGAAUCUUUUCUCAAAAACUUCUGCGAUCAACUCUUCAAGACUCCAAACAACUUUACGAAAUUUGCCAACCUAUAAAAUCCUUAACAAUU
rnacentral:lncRNA from 1 species